AGAGUUUGAUCCUGGCUCAGAGUGAACGCUGGCGGCGUGCCUAAUACAUGCAAGUCGAACGGACAAGUAAGAGCUUGCUCUUAUGAGUUAGUGGCGCACGGGUGAGUAAUGUAUAGUUAAUCUGCCCUACACUGGAGGACAACAGUUAGAAAUGACUGCUAAUACUCCAUACUCCUUCUUAACACAAGUUAAGUCGGGAAAGUUUUUCGGUGUAGGAUGAGACUAUAUUGUAUCAGCUAGUUGGUAAGGUAAUGGCUUACCAAGGCUAUGACGCAUAACUGGUCUGAGAGGAUGAUCAGUCACACUGGAACUGAGACACGGUCCAGACUCCUACGGGAGGCAGCAGUAGGGAAUAUUGCUCAAUGGGGGAAACCCUGAAGCAGCAACGCCGCGUGGAGGAUGACACUUUUCGGAGCGUAAACUCCUUUUGUUAGGGAAGAACACUGACGGUACCUAACGAAUAAGCACCGGCUAACUCCGUGCCAGCAGCCGCGGUAAUACGGAGGGUGCAAGCGUUACUCGGAAUCACUGGGCGUAAAGGACGCGUAGGGCGGAUUAUCAAGUCUCUUGUGAAAUCUAACGGCUUAACCGUUAAACUGCUUGGGAAACUGGUAAUCUAGAGUAAGGAGAGGUAGAUGGAAUUCUUGGUGUAGGGGUAAAAUCCGUAGAGAUCAAGAAGAAUACCCAUUGCGAAGGCGAUCUACUGGAACUUAACUGACGCUAAUGCGUGAAAGCGUGGGGAGCAAACAGGAUUAGAUACCCUGGUAGUCCACGCCCUAAACGAUGUAUACUGGUUGUUGCUAUGCUAGUCAUGGCAGUAAUCCACCUAACGGAUUAAGUAUACCGCCUGGGGAGUACGGUCGCAAGAUUAAAACUCAAAGGAAUAGACGGGGACCCGCACAAGCGGUGGAGCAUGUGGUUUAAUUCGAAGAUACGCGAAGAACCUUACCUAAGCUUGAUAUCCAACAAAUCUCUUAGAGAUAAGAGAGUGCUAGCUUGCUAGAAUGUUGAGACAGGUGCUGCACGGCUGUCGUCAGCUCGUGUCGUGAGAUGUUGGGUUAAGUCCCGCAACGAGCGCAACCCACGUAUUUAGUUGCUAACGGUUCAGCCGAGCACUCUAAAUAGACUGCCUUCGUAAGGAGGAGGAAGGUGUGGACGACGUCAAGUCAUCAUGGCCCUUAUGCCUAGGGCGACACACGUGCUACAAUGGCAUAUACAAUGAGACGCAAUAUCGCGAGAUGGAGCAAAUCUAUAAAAUAUGUCCCAGUUCGGAUUGUUCUCUGCAACUCGAGAGCAUGAAGCCGGAAUCGCUAGUAAUCGUAGAUCAGCCAUGCUACGGUGAAUACGUUCCCGGGUCUUGUACUCACCGCCCGUCACACCAUGGGAGUUGAUUUCACUCGAAGCCGGAAUGCUAAACUAGCUACCGUCCACAGUGGAAUCAGCGACUGGGGUGAAGUCGUAACAAGGUAACCGUA
rnacentral:rRNA from 1 species